CCUACGGGAGACAGCAGUGAGGAAUAUCGGUCAAUGGGCGAGAGCCUGAACCAGCCAAGUCGCGUGAGGGAGUACUGCCCUAUGGGUUGUAAACCUCUUUUGUCGGGGAGCAAAAGCCGGACGUGUCCGGCUGUGAGAGUACCCGAAGAAAAAGCAUCGGCUAACUCCGUGCCAGCAGCCGCGGUAAUACGGAGGAUGCGAGCGUUAUCCGGAGUUAUUGGGUUUAAAGGGUGCGCAGGCGGAUUUUUAAGUCAGCGGUAAAAUCGUGGGGCUCAACCCCAUCCAGCCGUUGAAACUGGGGAUCUAGAGUGUGCGAGAGGUAUGCGGAAUGCGUGGUGUAGCGGUGAAAUGCAUAGAUAUCACGCAGAACCCCGAUUGCGAAGGCAGCAUACCGGUGCACAACUGACGCUCAGGCACGAAAGCGUGGGUAUCGAACAGGAUUAGAUACCCGGGUAGUC
rnacentral:rRNA from 1 species